GAUGAACGCUAGCGGCAGGCCUAAUACAUGCAAGUCGAACGGUGUCUUCGGACAUAGUGGCGCACGGGUGCGUAACACGUAUGCAACCUACCUUACAUUGGGGGAUAGCCUUUCGAAAGGGAGAUUAAUACCGCAUAAGACAGUAGCUGGGCAUCCAGCAGCUGUUAAAGAUUUAUCGAUGUAAGCUGGGCAUGCGUCCAAUUAGCUAGUUGGUGAGGUAACGGCUCACCAAGGCAAUGAUUGGUAGGGGAACUGAGAGGUCAAUCCCCCACACUGGCACUGAGAUACGGGCCAGACUCCUACGGGAGGCAGCAGUAGGGAAUAUUGGGCAAUGGACGCAAGCCUGACCCAGCCAUGCCGCGUGCAGGAUGAAGGCGUUAUGCGUUGUAAACUGCUUUUAUACAGGAAGAAGCGACUCUUGCGAGAGGCAUUGACGGUACUGUAUGAAUAAGCACCGGCUAACUCCGUGCCAGCCGCCGCGGUAAGAC
rnacentral:rRNA from 1 species